AAACCAGCACCUCAAGUGGUCAGGAUGAUUAUUGGGCCUAAAGCAUCCGUAGCCGGCUCUGUAAGUUUUCGGUUAAAUCUGUACGCUCAACGUACAGGCUGCUGGGAAUACUGCAGAGCUAGGGAGUGGGAGAGGUAGGCGGUACUCGGGAGGAAGGGGUAAAAUCCUUUGAUCUCUCGAUGACCACCUGUGGCGAAGGCGGUCUACCAGAACACGUCCGACGGUGAGGGAUGAAAGCUGGGGGAGCAAACCGGAUUAGAAACCCGAGUAGUCC
rnacentral:rRNA from 1 species